rnacentral:rRNA from 1 species
GAUGAACGCUAGCGGCAGGCUUAACACAUGCAAGUCGAGGGGUAGAAGUUGCUUGCAACUUUGAGACCGGCGCACGGGUGCGUAACGCGUAUGCAACCUACCUUUUACAGAGGGAUAGCCCAGAGAAAUUUGGAUUAAUACCUCAUAGUAUAUAAUCUUCGCAUGUUGGUUAUAUUAAAGUUCCAACGGUAAAAGAUGGGCAUGCGUCCUAUUAGCUAGUUGGUGUGGUAACGGCACACCAAGGCGACGAUAGGUAGGGGUCCUGAGAGGGAGAUCCCCCACACUGGUACUGAGACACGGACCAGACUCCUACGGGAGGCAGCAGUGAGGAAUAUUGGACAAUGGGCGCAAGCCUGAUCCAGCCAUGCCGCGUGCAGGAAGAAGCAUCUAUGGUGUGUAAACUGCUUUUGUACAGGAAGAAACACCCCUUCGUAAAGGGACUUGACGGUACUGCAAGAAUAAGGAUCGGCUAACUCCGUGCCAGCCGCCGCAGUAAUAC